ACCGUGUUGCUACAGCUAUAACUUCAAACAUGCAGUUUAUAGCAGUGGGCAACACGU
rnacentral:pre_miRNA from 1 species